CAUGGCAGCACAGAGAGGAGACCCAGAGGAGCAGGAGGACCAGGUGUGAAGAUGCAGUCAAACCAGAGGGAGACUCACCUGGACGGAGACGGGAACAAGUGGACAUAUUUCCCUUCAGUACCACUAGUUAAUAUCUGAGGUCUUUUAUUUUAAAUGUUCUUUUAUUGUGAAUUGCAUUGGUAGAAAACUUUGAAUUUCAUUGUUGCUGAAAUGGGUUUUAUACAUAAUCUUGACUUAAAAUAUCAGAAGCAGUGGCGUGCAGCUAAAUAUUCGUAGUGCUUUAAUUAUACCUGGUUGUGUGUGUGAUUUAAUGUUAAUGCAAUAAACUGCUUUUAAGAAAUACUGA